GAUGAACGCUGGCGGCGUGCCUAAUACAUGCAAGUCGAGCGAAUGGAUUAAGAGCUUGCUCUUAUGAAGUUAGCGGCGGACGGGUGAGUAACACGUGGGUAACCUGCCCAUAAGACUGGGAUAACUCCGGGAAACCGGGGCUAAUACCGGAUAAUAUUUUGAACUGCAUGGUUCAAAAUUGAAAGGCGGCUUCGGCUGUCACUUAUGGAUGGACCCGCGUCACAUUAGCUAGUUGGUGAGGUAACGGCUCACCAAGGCAACGAUGCGUAGCCGACCCGAGAGGGUGAUCGGCGAAACUGGGACUUGCACACGGCCCAGACGCCUACGGGAGGCAGCAGUAGGGAAUCUUCCGCAAUGGACGAAAGUCUGACGGAGCAACGCCGCGUGAGUGAUGAAGGCUUUCGGGUCGUAAAACUCUGUUGUUAGGGAAGAACAAGUGCUAGUUGAAUAAGCUGGCACCUUGACGGUACCUAACCAGAAAGCCACGGCUAACUACGUGCCAGCCGCCGCAGUAA
rnacentral:rRNA from 1 species